GGCUACGUAGCUCAGUUGGAAUAGAGCACAGCAUUCAUAACGCUGAGGUCAUGGGUUCAAUCCCCAUCGUAGCUA
rnacentral:tRNA from 1 species